ensembl:lncRNA
CAGUGGUUUGAUGAACCUCACAAACUACACUAGGGAGUUGAACGAGGUCAAACUGGUUUGGGCCAAUUCCAGAGUUGUCUCCAUAGUCCUUAAAACUACUAACAAAUGGACCAUCGGUCGGAAUAUAUGGAGUGUAGGUCAAUCCUCACAUGUAUCGAGGAGGAGGAGGAGGAAGAGGAGGGUGAUGAUGAUGAUGAAGCCCAUGACAUGGAAGAGGAUGAUGGGGACAGAGAGGAGACCCAAAAAGGAGGUGUAAAGGAGACAGUGGACCAAAUGGGGGAAGAAGACGAAGAAGAAAGUGGCAGAGUGGAAGGAGGGGGAGAAGAAGAUGAGGAAGACUCUGACUCUCCCUGUCUGACGCCAAGACCCUGGCGACUGCCUCGUGACUUCGACGUCGUCUUCCAAGAGACGCGCUAUGUGGACAAUGUCCAGAGUGAGUCUGGGUCAGAAGACGGCUCCCUCUGUACAGCCGAACCACAGCCCACCGCCUCUCCCCCCGAACCCUCUCCUUCAUCAGAACACACCCCUUCUUCAGAAAGUACCUCUCCACCCGAACACGGUCCUUCAUCAGAACACGCCUCUCCACCUGAUCAGACCUCUUCAUCCCAACACAGCCCUCCAUCAGGACACACCCCUUCUUCAGAAAGUACCUCUCCACCCGAACACGGUCCUUCAUCGGAACACGCCUCUCCACCCGAUCAGACCUCUUCAUCACAACACAGCCCUCCAUUAGGCCACAGCUCUCCACCCGAACACACCUCUCCAUCGGGAUACACCAGUCCUUCAGAACACACCCCGCCUCCACCCACACACUCCUCUCCAUCCGAACACACCCCAUCAUCAGAAUACACCUCUGCAUCAGACCACCCCCCUUCAUCAGAACACCCCCCCACCAGGACACAGCCUUUGGCCUCAACCGGGCAGACAGUGGAGCCAUGGACUCCCAAACAUGAAGGUCUACUCCUGGGCAGAGAGAGCGUGGCGGCGGUCAAGAGCAGAGCAGCCAAAGAAAGGCUCGAAGAGGAGGCGUUCAUCAGAUGAGGAUUUUCCUGGCUGGUUGCUGGAGCUCAUGUUUAGCAUUGAGGAGUCGACAAAACAUGUACUGUUCGUUGAAUAUGAACAUGCAAAGGCAUAACGGGUCGUUGCUUGUUUUCUGAACUUCUUUCAAUGGUGUGAUGAUGUUGUUUAUCGUGGGGCAUUUUCACUGGGAUGGUAGAGGUUUACUUUAAGCUCAAUUUAUUUUUGAUAUCUAACUUUAUUUUCCCCAGACAAGUCCCACAGACAAUCAAGUAUUUUUUCUUGAAGAAAACAACAAAAAAUGAAAGAAGCUAUGAUUUCUAAAUAAAAGUCCUAAAAAUUAAUGUGUUGCACAUCAGAGUGUUUUUUGACAUUUUUUAUGGUAGCUAUUCCUGAUUUGCCAAGUUAAAAGUUAGACCGAACUUUCUGAACUGACUAUUCAAACAUGACGACAACAGAGCCAGGCUCUUUUAAAGUCCUAUCUAAUACUACACCAAAGCAACAAUCAAUUACUACUGGCUGUCUUCACACAAACAUGUUGUGAUUGCGGUGCAGG